GUCAAUGUGGAGGCUAUAUAUAGGGGUACCAGUACAGAGUCAAUGUGGAGGCUAUAUACAGGGGGUACCGGUACAGAGUCAAUGUGGAGGCUAUAUACAGGGGGUACCGGUACAGAGUCAAUGUGGAGGUUAUAUACAGGGGGUACCGGUACAGAGUCAAUGUGGAGGCUAUAUACAGGGGGUACCGGUACAGAGUCAAUGUGGAGGCUAUAUACAGGGGGUACCGGUACAGAGUCAAUGUGGAGGUUAUAUACAGGGGGUACCGGUACAGAGUCAAUGUGGAGGCUAUAUACAGGGGGUACCGGUACAGAGUCAAUGUGGAGGCUAUAUACAGGGGGUACCGGUACAGAGUCAAUGUGGAGGUUAUAUACAGGGGGUACCAGUACAGAGUCAAUGUGGAGGCUAUAUACAGGGGGUACUGGUACAGAGUCAAUGUGGAGGCUAUA